rnacentral:rRNA from 1 species
GCGAACCCGGCGAACUGAAACAUCUCAGUAGCUGGAGGAAAAGACAUCAACCGAGAUUCCGUUAGUAGUGGCGAGCGAACGCGGACCAGGCCAGUGCCUGUAAUUCAACUAGCAGAACAGUUUGGAAAGACUGGCCAUAGCGGGUGACAGCCCCGUAUGCGAAAGUGAUGUUACAGGACUCGAGUAGGGCGGGACACGUGAAAUCCUGUCUGAACAUGGGGGGACCACCCUCCAAGCCUAAAUACUCGUGCAUGACCGAUAGCGAACAAGUACCGUGAGGGAAAGGUGAAAAGCACCCCGAUGAGGGGAGUGAAACAGUACCUGAAACCGAAUGCCUACAAGCAGUUGGAGGGUCCUUGAGGCCUGACAGCGUACCUCUUGCAUAAUGGGUCUGUGACUUAAUGUAUCAAGCAAGCUUAAGCCGUUAGGUGUAGGCGCAGCGAAAGCGAGUCUGAAUAGGGCGACUGAGUUUGAUGCAUUAGACCCGAAACCCGGCGAUCUAGGCAUGACCAGGAUGAAGGUGCGGUAACACGCACUGGAGGUCCGAACCGAUUAACGUUGAAAAGUUACCGGAUGAGUUGUGUUUAGGGGUGAAAGGCCAAUCAAGCCGGGAAAUAGCUGGUUCUCCGCGAAAACUAUUGAGGUAGUGCCUCGAGCGAAUACCGUAGGGGGUAGAGCACUGGAUGGAUGCGGGGGUCGCGAGAUCUACCAACUCUAACCAAACUCCGAAUACCAACGAGUAUAGUACGGGAGACAGACGGCGGGUGCUAAGGUCCGUCGUCGAAAGGGAAACAGCCCUGACCUACAGCUAAGGUCCCCAAGUCAUCACUAAGUGGGAAAGCAUGUGGAACUUCCAAAACAACCAGGAGGUUGGCUUAGAAGCAGCC